UACGUAGGGUGCAAGCGUUAAUCGGAAUUACUGGGCGUAAAGCGUGCGCAGGCGGUUUUGUAAGUCAGAUGUGAAAUCCCCGGGCUUAACCUGGGAAUGGCAUUUGGGACUGCAAGGCUGGAGUGCGGCAGAGGAGACUGGAAUUCCUGGUGUAGCAGUGAAAUGCGUAGAUAUCAGGAGGAAUACCGAUGGCGAAGGCAGGUCUCUGGGCUGACACUGACGCUCAUGCACGAAAGCGUGGGGAGCAAACAGG
rnacentral:rRNA from 1 species